UCUAUAGCUCAGUUGGUUAGAGCAUCUGACUGUUAAUCAGAGGGUCGUAGGUUCAAGUCCUGCUAGA
rnacentral:tRNA from 1 species